rnacentral:rRNA from 1 species
ACUCCUACGGGAGGCAGCAGUAGGGAAUCUUCCACAAUGGGCGCAAGCCUGAUGGAGCAACACCGCGUGAGUGAAGGAGGGUUUCGGCUCGUAAAGCUCUGUUGUUAAAGAAGAACACGUAUGAGAGUAACUGUUCAUACGUUGACGGUAUUUAACCAGAAAGUCACGGCUAACUACGUGCCAGCAGCCGCGGUAAUACGUAGGUGGCAAGCGUUAUCCGGAUUUAUUGGGCGUAAAGAGAGUGCAGGCGGUUUUCUAAGUCUGAUGUGAAAGCCUUCGGCUUAACCGGAGAAGUGCAUCGGAAACUGGAUAACUUGAGUGCAGAAGAGGGUAGUGGAACUCCAUGUGUAGCGGUGGAAUGCGUAGAUAUAUGGAAGAACACCAGUGGCGAAGCGGCUACCUGGUCUGCAACUGACGCUGAGACUCGAAAGCAUGGGUAGCGAACAGGAUUAGAUACCCCUGGUAGGAUAGCG